CCUACGGGGGGCAGCAGUGAGGAAUAUUGGUCAAUGAGCGAGAGCCUGAACCAGCCAAGUCGCGUGAAGGAUGACGGCUCUACGGGUUGUAAACUUCUUUUGUCAGGGAGCAAUUGGGUCCACGCGUGGGCUUAGCGAGAGUACCUGAAGAAAAAGCAUCGGCUAACUCCGUGCCAGCAGCCGCGGUAAUACGGAGGAUGCGAGCGUUAUCCGGAUUUAUUGGGUUUAAAGGGUGCGUAGGCGGAAUAUUAAGUCAGCGGUAAAAAUUCGGGGCUCAACCCCGUCGUGCCGUUGAAACUGGUGGUCUUGAGUGGGAGAGAGGUAAGCGGAAUGCGUGGUGUAGCGGUGAAAUGCAUAGAUAUCACGCAGAACACCGAUUGCGAAGGCAGCAUACCGGGGCCAAACUGACGCUGAAGGACGAAAGCGUGGGUAGCGAACAGGAUUAGAUACCCCUGUAGUC
rnacentral:rRNA from 1 species